rnacentral:rRNA from 1 species
CUUUCGGUGACUAACCGAAGGAAGUUGGGGGCAAUAACAGGUCUGUGAUGCCCUUAGAUGUCCUGGGCUGCACGCGCGCUACACUGAUGCAUGCAACGAGUAACGACCUUUGCCGGAAGGCACGGGUAAUCUUUUGAACGUGCAUCGUGAUAGGGAUAGAUUAUUGCAAUUAUUAAUCUUGAACGAGGAAUUCCUAGUAAACGCGAGUCAUCAGCUCGCAUUGAUUACGUCCCUGCCCUUUGUACACACCGCCCGUCGCACCUACCGAUUGAAUGAUUCGGUGAAAAUCUCGGACUUUGGCAUGGAACUUUAUUGUGACUUGCCGAGGGAAGUUAUUUAAACCUCAUCAUUUAGAGGAAGGUGAAGUCGUAACAAGGUUUCCGUAGGUGAACCUGCGGAAGGAUCAUUA